rnacentral:misc_RNA from 1 species
GAUGAAGAACGUAGUGAAAUGCGAUAAGUAAUGUGAAUUGCAGAAUUCAGUGAAUCAUCGAAUCUUUGAACGCACCUUGCGCCUUUUGGUAUUCCGAAAGGCACACCUGUUUGAGCGUCAUGAAUACCUCAAUCUCCAUCUUUUCUUCGGAUUGAUGGGUGACUUGGAUGUUGAGCCCUGCUGGUAUGCUAUAUCAGCUGGCUUUAAACUUAUUAGCCGGCUCUGUACUGGAUCGGUUUGACUCGACGUGAUAAUAUUAUCGUUGAGGAUGCAUGUCUCAUGCAGCCGGAAAGUAUCAAAGCAGCUUCUAGCUUGCCUUUAGUGCACUUUUACAUUUUAGACCUCAGAUCAGGUGGGACUACCCGCUGAACUUAAGCAUAUGAAUAAGCGGAGGA